UGUGCAGGUGAGUUUCUUACCAACU
rnacentral:misc_RNA from 1 species